UUAUAGAGAGUUUGUCCUUUACUGCUGUGGAAACAACCUCUAUUAUUCUGGGAAUAAAUUUAAGGAGCAUUCAGCUUUGUGUGAGCAUCAUGGACAUUAGGUAUUGACGUUCUACCACUUUACCACUCAAACUCCCGCAUGUCCUCUCUAAAGCUGGGGACCUGAAAAUAGACCUGAAUUCUAUUUAUACUUUCCAUAAUUUUCCAUAUAAUUUCCAUAUAAUUUCCAUAUAAUUUGUUCCACUUCACAAUUGUUUUCCACUUGUUGUUGAUUCUUCACAUAAAAUUACAAUUUCAUAUCUUCAUGUUUGAAGCCUGAAAUGUGGCAAAAGGUUGAAAAAUUCAGGGGGGCCGAAUACUUUUGCAAGGCACUGUAUCUGCUGAUGUCAAUAUACACAUUUAUAACUUGCAAAGAGACUGGACACAACAGUAUAGCUUUAGAAACAAAUGCAAUAUUUAUUUGACUUACGUUGUAGAUUUUAAACAACUGUAUGCAAACAAUAGUGAACUGUUCUCUAGAAAAAUAAGUUUUCACAUUUUUGGUUCUUACACAGUCUGGUAAUAGCUUUAAUCUUUUUAAAUUAACAGGUUAAGUCAAACAAGAGAUCUUGGGAAACUAAGAAAAUUAGAUUAAAUAAAUGGACUGUAAAUCAGUGCAGCCAGUGUUGUAUAAUUUUGUAUGUUGUAGCGCGGCCAGCGUCUCUUGGUCUUUUUCCAGCACACAAUAAAUACAUCAGCAAGUAUCGGUUUAAAAUAUCUUGAUAUCUGCCCAUGUUGAAUUUUUUUUUCUAUAAUGUUGAUAUGUGUAUUUCUUUGUCAGUGUACAGUGUGCUUGUUUCUUGAGCAUAUGAGAAACUCUUAAAUCUUUUAUGGGUACAGUGAUUCCCACACAAACUAUAUUUGAGUAGAAUUGUGCAGUAGAACUUUAUUUUUAGGAAUCUUCCACUACUGGUAUAAUAAUAAAAAAAAAAAGAAAAAAAAUAAACAAAUGGGUUUCUGCCAAGUUUUUGUGAAUUAAUUUGAUUAUUCGAAUUACUGAUUAAAUGCGAUUUUCAAAAUGGCAUAAUUGUGAUUGUACAUCUUUACAUAUAAAAGCUGCCAGAGUAAAUCUCAGAUGAAUAUUUGCUUCUGUCAGAAACCUGUAAAGAACUUUUUCUUUAUAAAUAAUUGGUUCAGAUUAGCAAUUUCAGUUAAAUAUAUCAUAUAGCAGAUGAUAUAGCAGGACAUAUAGCAGAACACAGGGAUAUUGGAGAAUUGAAAUCAAGUUUAUAGGAUUUACAAAGUGUGCAAUAAUUCUUUAAACAGAAUUUAAGGAGGUGCAAAAUCUAAGCACUACAACAGAAAAAAUUACAUCCAUAUUUAGUAGAUUCUGCUUUUGCAGAAAUAAGAGCCUCUAAACUCUACCUACAGCUUCCAAUGACUGAAUACAGCUUCUGACUUCUGUUCUUCUGGUUGAAGGUAUUUUGGACCAUUCUUAUUUACAAAACAUCUCCAGUUCAGUCAGGUUUGAUUCAGGUUUCUGAUCAUGAACAGCCCGCGUUAAAUCACACCACAGAUUUAUAAUAAUAUUCAGGUCUAUAGGGACUGAGAUGAUCAUUCCAGAACGUUGUACUUGUUCCUCUGCAUGAAUGCUUUAGUAGAUUUUGAACAGUGUUUAGUGUUUAGUGUCGUUGUCUUGUUGAAGUAUCCAGCCCCGGCGCUUCAAACUUCAACUUUGUCACUGAUUCUAGAAGAGGCUUGUCCCGAUCCAAUAUUUGGAUCGGAUCGGCCGCCGAUAUUUGCAAAAAAUGCGUAUCGGUAUUGGUUCGGCAGGCACGAGAAAAUGCCGAUCCAGACUCCCAAUCCAGUUUUUUUUAAAGCCCUAUCCGGGUUUUCCAGCGCAUCCAUUUAGAUAAUCCAUUCCAGUUCCUGUUUUCGCCAGUGAGAGUAAAAUCCGGUCCGGUGAAUUUCACCAGCUCAGCUUUCCAGCGCUCAGAUUUAAAUACAUGACGGACGGAGCCGGGAGUUUCUCUACAAAUGGAUGAAUGCGGGCCAGGAAAGAUGAACUCCGGUCAGACCAGCUGGAGGCAGCGUUAGCUCCCUUUAUGAAGAGUUUUUUUCUUUGAAUUUAAUAAAGUUUUCUCUCUUAACAUUAA